AAUGGGGGCAACCCUGAUCCAGCGAUGCCGCGUGAGUGAUGAAGGCCUUAGGGUUGUAAAACUCUUUCAGGUGGGAAGAUAAUGACGGUACCACCAGAAGAAGCUCCGGCUAACUCCGUGCCAGCAGCCGCGGUAAUACGGAGGGAGCUAGCGUUGUUCGGAAUUACUGGGCGUAAAGCGUACGUAGGCGGCUUGGCAAGUAGAGGGUGAAAUCCCGGAGCUCAACUCCGGAACUGCCCCCUAAACUGCUGAGCUAGAAUCCUGGAGAGGUGAGCGGAAUUCCUAGUGUAGAGGUGAAAUUCGUAGAUAUUAGGAAGAACACCAGUGGCGAAGGCGGCUCACUGGACAGGUACUGACGCUGAGGUACGAAAGCGUGGGGAGCAAACAGGAUU
rnacentral:rRNA from 1 species